CAGUAGCCACGGUAAUACGUAGGGUGCAAGCGUUAAUCGGAAUUACUGGGCGUAAAGCGUGCGCAGGCGGUUCUAUAAGACAGAUGUGAAAUCCCCGGGCUCAACCCGGGAACUGCAUUUGUGACUGUAGAGCUGGAGUGCGGCAGAGGGGGAUGGAAUUCCGCGUGUAGCAGUGAAAUGCGUAGAUAUGCGGAGGAACACCGAUGGCGAAGGCAAUCCCCUGGGCCUGCACUGACGCUCAUGCACGAAAGCGUGGGGAGCAAACAGGAUUAGAUACCCCAGUAGUCCCUGUCUCUUAUAC
rnacentral:rRNA from 1 species